CCACUGAGGAGCCAGCCACGAUUGCAGAUGCUUAGGCCUAUAAAAGUCUUAUUUUUGGUCUAUUUUUGUAAAUCCUACUUGGGGUCUAUCCGAGUAGAUUUUUAGGAUCGGAAAACCCAUCUUUUAUAACCAAACUUCAUUUAAUGAAAGAUCUAUUUUGCUUCCUUCCAAUGAUCUCUUCUUAUUUCUUAUCAUUGUCACUACUGUCAUUGUUUUCUAGGUGGGCUGAUUCUCUCCUUGUAUGUGGACAAGGAGAGGUUCAACCUCAACUCAGUUCACAUCUCAUGCUGGGAGAAUACGUCUUCUUCUGGGCACCCUACUCAUCAAGCCA
rnacentral:lncRNA from 1 species